rnacentral:rRNA from 1 species
UGGCGGCGUGCCUAAUACAUGCAAGUCGAACGCUUUGUGGUUCAACUGAUUUGAAGAGCUUGCUCAUAUAUGACGAUGGACAUUGCAAAGAGUGGCGAACGGGUGAGUAACACGUGGGAAACCUACCUCUUAGCAGGGGAUAACAUUUGGAAACAGAUGCUAAUACCGUAUAACAAUGACAACCGCAUGGUUGUUAUUUAAAAGAUGGUUCUGCUAUCACUAAGAGAUGGUCCCGCGGUGCAUUAGCUAGUUGGUAAGGUAAUGGCUUACCUAGGCAAUGAUGUAUAGCCGAGUUGAGAGACUGAUCGGCCACAAUGGGACUGAGACACGGCCCAUACUCCUACGGGAGGCAGCAGUAGGGAAUCUUCCACAAUGGGCGAAAGCCUGAUGGAGCAACGCCGCGUGUGUGAUGAAGGGUUUCGGCUCGUAAAACACUGUUGUCAGAGAAGAAUGACAUUGAGAGUAACUGUUCAAUGUGUGACGGUAUCUUACCAGAAAGGAACGGCUAAAUACGUGCCAGCAGCCGCGGUAACACGUAUGUCCCACAGCGUUAUCCCGAUUUAUUGGGCCUACAAGCGAGCCCAUACUGUUAUUUAAGUUUGAAGUGAAAGCCCUCAGCUCAACUGAGGAAUUGCUUUGGAAACUGGAUGACUUGAGUGCAGUAGAGGAAAGUGGAACUCCAUGUGUAGCGGUGAAAUGCGUAGAUAUAUGGAAGAACACCAGUGGCGAAGGCGGCUUUUUGGACUGUAACUGACGUUGAGGCUCGAAAGUGUGGGUAGCAAACAGGAUUAGAUACCCUGGUAGUCCACACCGUAAACGAUGAGUGCUAGGUGUUUGAGGGUUUCCGCCCUUAAGUGCCGUAGCUAACGCAUUAAGCACUCCGCCUGGGGAGUACGACCGCAAGGUUGAAACUCAAAGGAAUUGACGGGGACCCGCACAAGCGGUGGAGCAUGUGGUUUAAUUUGAAGCAACGCGAAGAACCUUACCAGGUCUUGACAUCCCUUGACAACUCCAGAGAUGGAGCGUUCCCUUCGGGGACAAGGUGACAGGUGGUGCAUGGUUGUUGUCAGCUCGUGUAGAGAGAUGUUGGGUUAAGUCCCGCAACGAGCGCAACCCUUAUUACUAGUUGCCAGCAUUCAGUUGGGCAAUCAAGGGAGACUGCCGGUGACAAACCGGAGGAAGG